rnacentral:piRNA from 1 species
CAUUGAGAAGGCAUGUGCGGACGA